rnacentral:rRNA from 1 species
GAUGAACGUUGGCGGCAUGGAUUAGGCAUGCAAGUCGAGCGAGAAGUGUAGCAAUACACGGAAAGCGGCGGAAGGGAGAGUAAUACGUGGGAAUCUGCCCUUAGACCUGGGAUAGCAGCGGGAAACUGCUGGUAAUACCAGAUAAUGUCUAUGGACCAAAGGUGUGAUUCCGUCUAGGGAUGAGCCCACGUCCUAUUAGCUAGUUGGUAGGGUAAUGGCCUACCAAGGCGAUGAUGGGUAGCGGGUGUGAGAGCAGGACCCGCCUCACUGGGACUGAGACACUGCCCAGACACCUACGGGUGGCUGCAGUCGAGAAUCUUCGGCAAUGGGCGCAAGCCUGACCGAGCGAUGCCGCGUGCGGGAUGAAGGCCUUCGGGUUGUAAACCGCUGUCGAGGGGGAGCAACUUCCAUAGAGUUAUCUUUAUGGAUUGAGUGAUCCCUGGAGGAAGGACGGGCUAAGUUCGUGCCAGCCGCCGCGGUAAGAC